AGGAGGCAGGACAGACACAUGAUCUGGAGAAGCAGAGUGAAAACAUCACUAGCAGAGGUCUGACACACACUGAAUGUGUACGAUGGCUCCCGCUGUUCUUCUCAUCGGCUGUGUACUCGCCUCAAUCAGCUGCUUAACCACAGCUCAAACUAGUAUUGCUCCAUCUGGACUAACUACAACUACUGCAACUACCACCUCCUUACCUAUUACAACACCACCUACACCAGCACAGAAAACAACAACAACCCCACCAGCACCAGCAAUAAUUACAUCAACAUCUUCACCAGCACCAACUACCACAACAUCUACAGCACAUCCACCAGCAUGUAAUAACCUGAACAUUUAAAUAUCCAACUUUUGAUCCUCCCUUCGACACCACUGCACCUCCUACCUCCAUCUCCACUGUGGCUACUACCUCCAUCUCGACCACGACUCCUACCUCCAGCUCCACCUCAGCUCCACCCAAAGUAAUUACUAUUCUCGAGAUGAAGGUGAAGACGUUGACUGAAGAAGAGCGUCAGGCUGAACUGUUUGAGAUUGGCAAAGUGCUGGAGAAUUUCUUAAGAGCGAAUUAUACUGGCAACUUCUCUGUUAAAGUCACGAAAAUUAAAAAGUUAUCACCAUAGAACUGAGUCAUUGUCUUCAUUUUUCUAUUUUUUUUUUUUAGAUUUUUUUAUGAGUAUUGCACUGAAAUUAUGAGGAAGAACUCUUGUGAACUCGGUUAGAAAAUAAAAACAAGCAAAUUAUUAUAAUUGUUGGGUUUUGUGAUUAUUAGUGCUCGGUGUGUUUCCUGCUGCUGCUCCAUGAGUUUGUGAGUUUUUCCAGGAAAUGUGGAAACCAAUGACUAGAUUUUAUCAGCAGCUGCAGAGUUUGGCCUCCACUGUCCUGAAACCCAUUUAACUAUGAGAAGACUAGACCAGACUGCUUCAUCAGGACCAGACACCAGCGUGAGACGGCCUAAUAAAAUAAUGUCUUCAUUGCUUGAUUUUUAAUCACCUACGGUUUUAAUUAGUUCAGACAUUUAAGGACAUUUUCCUAGACUUAGAGAGCAUGUUUUUAUGGAAGCCCAUUUCUGCCACAAAAAAAAAAAAAGUAAUUCCAAAUUUUUUUAUCUCACAAUAUAUAGAUAUAUAUAUACGGAGCCCCGCAGUACAUUAUGUAAUUCGUUUCCCCAAUGUACUAAAACGUGCAUACGAUUACUAUUGCGUUCCCUCGAUUUAGCAAAGGAGUAAAACAUUUAGUUUUUUUAACCCCUCGGGGAGUCUAUAGUGCACUGUCUGAUGUGAUACUGUAGCUGACGGCUGAAUUGCUAAAAUUUUAUGCUUUAUUUUUCGUUAAUUUAGCCACUGUAUUGAAUAAAUACCUGGGGUUAUGUUUGUUUUCUUCUUAAAGAGACAAAAAGUAAUCAGAUCUAGCAGUUUUUAAUGCUUUUCUGUAGGAUAGGUUACUUUCCUGCCAAGCAAUACGAAAUACCUCUAGUUUUGUUUUCCUCGAGCUGCGCUCCAUUUUUCGGGCUGCUCUCUUUAGGGAGCGAGUGUGCUCAUUAUACCAUGGUGUCAGACUGUUUUACUUAACCUUCCUUAAGCGUAAAGGAGCCACACCAAGCAAUACUGACUUUAUAACUCGCAACUUCAUAUUUAUAUCACAAGUUUUACUUAAUUUCUCAGAAUUGUGACAAACUCGCGAGUUUAUAUCACUAAAUCUAUUUAUCAGAAUUGCGAGUUUAGAUAAAU